GCGGGGAGUGGUGGUGUAAUCCUGUAAUACCGUAAUUCAACUACUCGGAGGCUAGGUAUGGAGGAUGGUUUAGAGGCGGGGAUUCUGGGAUUGGAUUUCCCACGUUGACUAGGCGUCCCCUAGGGAUAAAUCUUUAACUUGGAUGCCUUGGGGGAGCCCCGAAGUAGCCAGAAGUUGAGUUUGAAAAGGUUAAAAAUCUACCCAAAAAUCACCGAGUUGAGAGUCGGGGGUUCAAAUCUUGGGAGUGGGAGUUUAAUUUCAGCUCGUCCAAAAACAAGAGCAGGUCUGUACCUAC
rnacentral:SRP_RNA from 1 species